UACGUAGGCAGCAAGCGUUGUUCGGAAUUACUGGGCGUAAAGGGCUCGUAGGCGGCCAACUAAGUCAGACGUGAAAUCCCUCGGCUUAACCGGGGAACUGCAUCUGAUACUGGAUGGCUUGAGUUCGGGAGAGGGAUGCGGAAUUCCAGGUGUAGCGGUGAAAUGCGUAGAUAUCUGGAGGAACACCGGUGGCGAAGGCGGCAUCCUGGACCGACACUGACGCUGAGGAGCGAAAGCCAGGGGAGCAAACGGG
rnacentral:rRNA from 1 species